rnacentral:tRNA from 1 species
GCCCUCGGAGUCGUCUGGUGACGACGCCUGAUUGUCGAUCAGUUAGAGGCGAGUUCGAUCCUCGUCGAGGGCG